AGCAGAAGCAUUUAUACAGAAAUCUGGGUCACCUGGAUGCCCAGCGCAGUGGAUCAGGACAUUCAUUGCCAAACAAGGCAUGAGCUCCCUAUAACGCAAGCUCAGUUUCUCCAGGGGAAAGAUUUCUUUAGCUUUUACCUAAAGUUCACUUUCUGUUCCAGGAUUCCAGGAGGCAGAAGUCUACAAGAGGGCCUUCACCAGAAACUGAAUCUCAUAG